CAAUUGACCCGUCUUUAUUAAGGGCAUAAUGAGGCAAUUCUUUAAGUGAGCGCAGACUAUCAAAAAAGCGAGGAAGAAAAAAGAUAAUUCCGAUCUGAUGAAAAUAAAAAACUCAGCCGAAGCUGAGUUUUUUACGAUAUUAA
rnacentral:misc_RNA from 1 species